CCCCUUGCGCAGUGGCAAUAUCGUAAUCAAUGAAGUUCUACUGAGAUGCGAUUAUUGCUAGUUGAAAACUGAGAUGUUAACGCUAGAAUCCUGUUUGCCUCCUCUAUUCUCGUAUGCCUUUUCCCUCCACCUAAAAGU